AUCAUUUAAAGAAAGCGUAAUAGCUCACUAGUCGAGUCGGCCUGCGCGGAAGAUGUAACGGGGCUGAAAUAUAGCACCGAAGCUGCGGCAUCAGGCGUAUCACUAAUACGCCUUACGAUUAACAAGCUAGAAUGGCGCGAAGCGUCAUGAAAGGUUGUUCAAGCAACCCGAACGUUGAGUCGGGCAUCUUAGAGUAAGGAUGAUUAGUGAUACGCCUGUUGGGUAGGGGAGCGUUGUGUAAGCGGAAGAAGGUUGAUCGAGAGGUGGGCUGGACGUAUCACAAGUGCGAAUGCUGACAUAAGUAACGAUAAAACGGGUGAAAAACCCGUUCGCCGGAAGACCAAGGGUUCCUGUCCAACGUUAAUCGGGGCAGGGUGAGUCGGCUCCUAAGGCGAGGCUGAAAAGCGUAGUCGAUGGGAAACAGGUUAAUAUUCCUGUACUUGGUAAAGCUGCGAUGUGGGGACGGAGUAGGUUAGGUUAUCGCACUGUUGGAUAUGUGCGUUUAAGUUGGUAGGUGGGAAGUUUAGGCAAAUCCGGACUUCCUUAACACAGAGAGAUGAUGACGAGGCUCUACGGAGCUGAAGUAACUGAUACCACACUUCCAGGAAAAGCCACUAAGCG
rnacentral:rRNA from 1 species